UACGUAGGUGGCGAGCGUUGUCCGGAUUUACUGGGCGUAAAGGGCUGGUAGGCGGCCAACUAAGUCGGAUGUGAAAUCCCCAGGCUUAACCUGGGAACUGCAUCCGAUACUGGUCGGCUUGAAUCCGGGAGAGGGAUGCAGAAUUCCAGGUGUAGCGGUGAAAUGCGUAGAUAUCUGGAGGAAUACCGGUGGCGAAGGCGGCAUCCUGGACCGGCAUUGACGCUGAGGCGCGAAAGCUAGGGGAGCAAACGGG
rnacentral:rRNA from 1 species